rnacentral:rRNA from 1 species
AUUGAACGCUGGCGGCAUGCCUUACACAUGCAAGUCGAACGGUAGCAGGUUAAGCUGACGAGUGGCGAACGGGUGAGUAAUGUAUCGGAACGUGCCCAGUCGUGGGGGAUAACUACUCGAAAGAAUGGCUAAUACCGCAUACGACCUGAGGGUGAAAGCGGGGGACCGUAAGGCCUCGCGCGAUUGGAGCGGCCGAUAUCAGAUUAGCUAGUUGGUGGGGUAAAAGCCCACCAAGGCGACGAUCUGUAGCUGGUCUGAGAGGACGACCAGCCGCACUGGGACUGAGACACGGCCCAGACUCCUACGGGAGGCAGCAGUGGGGAAUUUUGGACAAUGGACGCAAGUCUGAUCCAGCCAUGCCGCGUGCGGGAAGAAGGCCUUCGGGUUGUAAACCGCUUUUGUCAGGGAAGAAACGAGUUUCUCUAAUACAGAGACUUAAUGACGGUACCUGAAGAAUAAGCACCGGCUAACUACGUGCCAGCCGCCGCCGUAACAC